UUGCUUGAAAAUAAAUUACAUGGGUAAAAGAUUUUCCAAAACAAGGUAAAUUAUGUGAGUUUUUUUAGGGAAAAUGUAUUACAGAUUUUUAAUCGGUAAGACAUUUUCUGAAAAAUCUUCCUCCACUCUCACCAUCCGUUCUUCAUCCUUUCUGUAAGAUUUUCUAAAAAACGGUAAGACUUUCUCCUUCUUUCGUUCUUCAUCCAAUUUCCUUCUUCAUCCAUUUUGUAAAAGUUUUUCUAUUUAAGAAUCUUCUUCUUCCUUCUUUUUUCUACUUUUUUAAGUUGUAAUUAUGAUUGCAGGUUGGCUCAUCCAGGAGGACCUGUUUAAGUACUAUUUUAUUCUCCCUUCUUCAUUUGUUCUGUAAGAUUGGCUGUCAAUAAUGCUUAAAGCUACCUUCUUUCAAAGUACUCUUUUAUUCAUUUCUUUUUCUUCUCUACUUUUGAUCUGUUUAAGUUUUCAUUAAUAUGAUUUUUUUUGGAAUUUUUGCUUGAUUUUGCAUCACAGAUCUAAUCUAGUUCAUAGAAAAAUUAUUUGUGUGCUAAAAUUUGACCCUUUUUUUUAGCUAGUUUGUCAAAUGAACUCUAAUACUCUGUUUGUUUCUGGGUUUUGCAUUAUUAAGCUUUUUUUAUGCUUUAUUAAAAUGUAUGUGCUGUUUAGAAUAAAAAAAAUGUUAAGUUAAUUAUUGAUAACAGUUGUUAAGAAUGCUCAAUUUUAAGUAUGAAAUUGCUGAACUGAAUAUACUUAAAUUUGUCGAGGAGAUGGACUGCUACUGGUUGAAAUAAUGGGGAAUUAUGGGAGGUUAAAUGCCAAACUUUGGUCUCUGUCCAAAUGCUGGACUUUCAGCAUUUAAUUUCCCUAUUUAAAGAUGUUUUAAACUUGCUAAAAAUACAACAAUUGCAUAUGUUAUUUACUUAAUUAAAUAAAUGGUAGCGAGUUCUUUACAUUUUCUUCCUUGGUUGUUUUUUUGGAUCUUUAUGCUGGUAUUUGUGAUGGAAUUUUGAUGAAAUUUCUAGCUAUCGAGGGAUCUACUGAUUUAAUAUACUGCCUUAUGGUUGUUUAUUGUUGUUCAAAGCAUGAUGAAAUAAACGUGUUGGUGUUGCUUAAUAUCUUAGAAAAGAUAAGGGUUUCAUUGAUAUUGUGUUUCAAUGGUCUCUUGAAGACAUAUUCAACGAUAAUCUUUAUAUCAUCAUCAUCACCCUUGAAUCUUUGGUUUUCUUUUUUUAUUAAACCUUAUUUACGGGUUUUCUUUGCAGCUUUUGGAAUAUCCACUUUUAUGGAAGUAGAAAAUGAUUGCUCUUAUACUUAAAAAUAGCUGUAGCAGUGAACUGGAAUAAACUUUCUUUGUGUGUGUGUGUUGCCCUAGCCCAUUUCUGCAUUCUAUAUUGUGAACGUCUUGCUUUUAGUCGGUCAUUGGCAACUAGAUAAAAGUGGCAUAUAGUUACAUAAGUAGUGAAUCGUGUAUAAGACUUGUGAAAUUUUUGCUAACAAGGGAAUUAGGAACUAAUAGCAGCUAAAACACAAUAACUUGUUAUUUUCUUGCUAUAAAACUCUUUUGAAAUAUCGUCAAUCAUUUUACUCUUUCAGCAGCCUAUUAUUGCCAAAGCCAAUAUCUGCUCAUAAAAAUAAAGUAGCACUUGAUUAGCUCCCUUUUCUGUUGCCUGCAUCGUGUUCCCCAUUUAUAUAUACCAAAUUUUGACUGCAAUUCAUGAGGCCUCCAUUUCUAGUUCUUCUUCGAGGGGUUUAUAUUGAUACAAGAAAAUGACAAUAAGAAAAAAAAAUGAAGUCCAUUGAUACAAUAGCUUCUCUUGUCGUAGUUAAUUUGAACUAUAUAUAUAUGUAUGUAAUUUGUGUAAUAUAUUGUUCCAUUUUUGACUCAUUUUUCAUUGUAGGGUGGUAAUGGUUGAACCAGUUUUGUUUUUUGAUAUGUUUUAAACAAUUUAACAUUUUACUCUCCAAUCAUUGUGUUACUCUCCAAACUUUGUUUGAUUUCAAUUUAUGACGAUUAAUAUUCUAGCUUAAUAAUUGAGUAUUAUUAUAUAUUUAAUUUGAUUUAUUUAUUUAUAAAUAGAUCAUUGUAAUAUAUGUAAAAACAAUUUAAAAUAUAAAUUUAUUAAUUAAUAUAUGUAAAAACAGUUUUUUCAGAAAAUAUUUUUAGGAAAUUUGCCAAAUAACAGAAAAUAUUUUACACAGAUUCAUCCAAACACCAGAAAAGUAAACCAUUUUCAAAAAAGUAAAUCAUUUUCCGGAAAACAUUUUACUGACAAACAAACGGAGUCUUUGCAAUAUGUUAAUUUUUAUUUUAUUUAAUUUCUUGUCUAAGUUAAUGCUAAUAUUGUUUAAGAUAGAAAAUAAUUUAUUUUUAUUAAAAUAUUUAUUAUUUCAAAAUAAAUAUUAAUUUAAAUAAUUUAAAAUUAUAUUAAUUGAGUAAUUGUUAAUUAACUUUAAUGUAUUUAGUUAGUUAUAACAAUGUAAAAAGUUAGAGGACUCGAAUAGCAAUUUUAAAAAGCAGAAGUACAUAAAUAAUUUGUUAAAAAGAUGGGAAGUCGCAAUUGUAAUUAUAUCAUUUUUAAAAUAUGUAAAUAAUAAUUGUACAAAAAUAUAAAGGACUGAAUUGGUUAUUUAAAAUUGUGGGAGCCCAUUUAGAAAACGUAAAAAAUAGGAUGCCCUUACUUCUUAUUAAACCAUUUUUAUUAUACCAUUUAAACCUAAAUACUUUCAUUUCAGCAGUUCUCUCUUUUUUUUUCUAUAAAAAAAAACAUUUUUAAUCUUUCAUUUCAGGAUUUUCCUUUUCAUGCUAUAUUUUUUCAUAUUUUAUUUCAUACCUUUGUGAUAUUGAUCAAUCUCGAAAGUGUCCCCACCAUUGUUUUGGUAGUUUUGAAUUUGGCAAAGGUGUUUUUUUUUUAAAUAAAAUUUUUAUUUAAUUAAGUUCUAAGGCUUUUUUCUUUUAAACAUUAUGUUGACGGUUGUUGGGUGUGCCUCAUAUUUAUUAGAUGUUUUGCAGGCACUUAUCGGAGACAAACAUGCGACAUCACAACGAGGAGAUAUGUGACAUUGCGAUAACGUAACGAGCAAGGGACGACGUCACAACAAGGGUCGUCGGGACUAGGUGACAAUCUCUUGAGGCAAGACCAGGGGCGACGUGACGAAGAGAGUCGUGACAUCACGACGAUAUCUCCCCUAAUGUAGCCGUGUUUUAGACUCCAAGUAAGACUUUUUCUCCCAGUUGGACUCUAAUUACUUCAAGGUUAUUUUAGUAUGAUUAGACCUCUAAUCUUAGCCUAUUUAUAGGGCCUUUGCAACCCUAAUUCAGACAUGCCAAUCAAUAAAGGCUUUUCUUGAUGGCAACAUGUAACACCUUAUACCCGACCCGAUCGCUGAGUUCGGGUACCAAAUGUCACAAUUAACUUGAGUUACUUAACAACAUUUUUAAUUAAAUUUAUUUACAAACUUAAUCAAUGCCAAAUUUAAUUCGUAUUUACCAGAUAACAUUAUUCUAAUUUCUUAUAUAUCAACAUGUUUCGAAAUCUAACUUCAAAUAAACUUUCUAUAAUCACUAAUACUCUUACAAUCAUUUUGCCUUACUACGCAUGAACAAUUAUUUACAUGGACUUGAAACAUAAGACUUCAUUAUAAAAUAUGCUUAAUCAACCCCCGAUGCGUAGUCUCUAAGAGUACCCCUCUAUAGACAUGAAGCAACUAUUACGCCCUUCUUGUGAACUUGGCAGUGUUUGGCUUGGUCCCGUCCCAUAAUAACCUUGUCAGCCUUUGAUCUUGCAUCAAAGGAAACCACUCAUAAGUUCAAAUGAACUUAGUAAGAUGUCUUACAUUAAUUAUUUAUGAAUAACUCAAUGUUAUCACGAGUAUAAAGAUUUGAUGCGCGUAAGUAAACUCCCUGAAUUUCUUGUAAACCUUUAUAGUUCACUAGCACAAACGACGUCCAUAUGUUAAUACUCUUUCUAAAGCCCUUUUUUGGGGACGUGGCGUUGUCAGACUUCAUCUCAGAUUUUUAUGUUACCUAGCUGAAUUGGUGCAUCGAGAAACAACCACACCAGCAGAUAUACGAAUUGUCGACACCCUUUGGCGGACUUACAAAUACCUCACCACCAUAGCAGAUUCCUACCUUGUUCCCUUCAUUCCGUUUUGAACUCAUUAUCGACUUACUGUAUUAUCCCAACAUUUACUUUCUUAUAACUUGUGAAUAUACUCUUUCAAAUGAAAACCCGUUCUCUUACCUUCUCGUAUGAGGCCUUCGAAUAUAAGAUGAAGAAGCGAAUCAAUCAGAAUGGAGACAGGGGGGAGAGGCGAAAGAAAGAUUGUCGAGCCUGCAAGCAGCAAGCAACAACGGCUGAAAAGCCGUUGCGCGCUAGCUUAUAGUUUAGGGGUAUAGUAGGGGUGCCCCUUUCUAAAACUUAUAUUUAAUAUAAGGUAAGCUUUUUUUGGAACUUUCGUUUUGGAGUUUUCCCCAACCUAUACCUUACUAAUAUUACUAAAAAAUAGGGGCUUACGUUUUUCAGCCGCAUCGCACUUCCGCAUAAACAAUGGAUCCGCUGGGCUGGAUGAGCAACCUUCUCUGGAAAAUAAUAGUGACUUCUAUCUCGUGUAUGUAUACUUGUAAGAUGGUCCUACUAGUCCUUUCCUCAUCAAGAUAGCCUGAAUAAAUAUUUCCUUAACUAGCUAGUCAUGCUGGACUUCCCAACCAUUGUUAGUUCCCAAUGGACUACCACUUCGCUAGAUCAGAUUAGGCAAACUUCCCUUUUAUAAGUUAGUCUUUAGUGGACUUCUUAACGUUAGAUAGUCCCAGUAGACAUCCUCUUCCCUUGAUAUUCCCUAACAGACAUUCCACCUAAGAUAGUUCUUGGUGAAGUUUCCACCUUUCUAACGACCUAUUUGCCAAUAAACACUUUGGAAAUAAGAUUUGAAAGCCAUCCUGCUUUCUUAUAACUCAUGUUGGUGUGUGCAUCUCCUCUGGCAGACUCUUAAUGGCGAAUACAUAUUUGCAUAUACUUUGAGAGAAAACCGUAUUCAUCUACAUUUACAUGCAUACAAGGGGUUUCCACCUUUUCCUCUUACCUCGUAUCUUGGUGAGACAUCAUAUCAUCACGCUUAUCUGUGUUCCCAUACACACUAAAACCGUUAUGUAAGACUUUUCGCCACGUGAAUCAUACAGUGAUUUCCACUUAUAUGACCCAACGGGCUUCCCUGUUUACUACCUUGACAAAUUCCAUUCUACCAUGAGGCGUAUUUUUCCUCCACUAGAUUGUACCAUGGCUCGCCAUGGACUUUGUUGGAAACUGGCCAAGUGUGUUGAAACUCCAACAGACUUUCAACUUCGAAGAGUCAGUAAACCACUUUUGAGGUGUCACUUCGAAGAGCCUGUAGAUAACCAUCUCCAACCAAUCCUCCUUAAGUCUUCUUUCAAUUCACCCAUUCCUCCAUUACGCCAAGGUUUUCCUAUCUUCAACUACCUGACCAAUUACUUCCCUCUGUACCCUACACUUUAAAGACAAACAUAACACACAUAUCAUCACAUUCACUAUCAUAGCAGGGAGUAUGCCACAUAAUAGUUUAUAGAUAGACAACUAUGUUAUACAUUUAAAGAACAAACUUGCAAGCAUUCAUAUAUUUACGCAGCUUUAUGCAAACAUAACUUUCUCGUUCACCAAAAUCAUAUACAACCAUAGAAUUCAAACUGAACUUAGAGCAGACAUACAAGCAAAAACAUUCAAGCAGCACAACAUCUAUUCAACACUCAAAAGUAGAGUACAAAAACUGAAUCCAGUCUCAUGCAGAAGUUUCCAAAGAUUUCAUACACGUUUAACUUCUCUUUUUCUCAAAUUCACUAAUACAGUAAGAUUAAAAAGCUUACCAGUUCACCGUAUUCACUACAUUCCAGACUUAAACCUCAUGGUCAUUAUCCCAUACAGAGUUUUCCUCAACUUUCUCUUUUUCGGAGCAACCAAAGAGGACAAUGCAUAAGAGAAGAAAAUAAAACAGAAUGGAGAAGAAUUCUGCCUGUAGAAUGAUCCUUCUCGUACAUAUAUAUCCUCUUACACAUGGUUAUCAAAGCCCCCAAUAACUAAGGAACUAGCCGAUUCCAACUUAGCUAACUAGAAUUGAAAUCCAACUAUUUACCAUUCAACCACUAAAUUUUCCAUAUUCUUCAAUAGAGCCUACCAAAUCUACAAAUUCUUUCAAUUAACUCUUGAUCCUUCUUAAUUCCGGACUUUAAUAGGAAUCGGGUGUGACAUGACAAGAUGUAGUUGCAUAUAAAUUUUGGUGAGAGUUUUAAUGAGAAUUUCGUGGUAACUUUAGAGAGAAUUUUGUUCCUGAGUUAGAUUUUUGUUUUCAAGGUUUGGGUGAUGUACGUCUAGUACAUUUAAGUUUAGUUUUUCCAUAUUAUACUCUUAUCUAUUUACUCAUUUAGUGAAAAGUCAAAGCCUCCAUUGCUCGUGGUUUUUCCCUUUUUUGAGGGUUUUUCACGUAAAAUAUUUAUGUUCGUGCUUCUCCACUUUAACUAUCUUGUUGUUUAUAAGAGUCGAUCCCAACAACGGUGAUAAAUCUUAAUAAAACAUGUUUUUCUUUUUAUAAAUUGUUUGUGUAAUUAAUUAUUAUUCUUGAAUAUUGAAAAUUUAUUAGAUAUGAUAUUUUUUUAAAGAUUUUUUUAUAUUUGUUAUUUUUUCUUAUAAAAAGAGCAAGAUUUCUCGUAUAUUUUAUUCUUUCACUAAACAUCAAGUUUUAAAACAACGGUUGAUUAACCCAAGUAUCAACCACUGUACUGCAUGGACAAUAGGCAAUUUCUUUUAUAAGGCCAUUUAGUCACAAUAGGGAGAAGUUAGAAAUUUUUUAGAGGGGUAAAAAUUAAAUUAUAAUUUUUAUAAUAGUAAAAAUAUAAUUUUAUCAUUUUAAUAGUUCAUAUAUUUAUAAUUUUUAAAAGAUUAAAUCAAAUUAUAUCAUUUUUAAGGGGAUCAAAGUAUAAUUUUAUUUUUACUAUUUUUAAAUUUUUAAAUUUUUAAAUUUUUAAAAAGUAUAAAUGAAAUUUUUUUUAUAGCUAGCACCUAUAGCUACACCCCUCUUCUAUAUCUGCAUGUUUAUAAUGUAUAUAAAUAUAUGGCAUAAAUGCAUAAUGAAAUUGUGGUAAUUAAAGUUGAACUUUCCUUGUUUAAAGAUUGGAACAAAAUUGGUGGGUUUUAAUAGAUGGGUUAAUAUGAUUGGUUUAGGGCCUACCAAUCCAGGCCUAGAGUGAAGAAACGGAAGCCGUAAAGUCAGCAAUCUACGCCGCAAACCAACUGUAAUGGCGUCUUUUACGGGAUAACACCCACACCAUGAUUAAUAAAACCCACUCCCACAAGAAACAUUGGUCGGCAGUUCCGUAACACCCCAACCUCUCCCCCAUUUCACUAAAUAAUAUACAACCGACAUACAUCUACAAGUUGAAAUUGAGUUGAAUCUAGCUACUUGCAUUUGUUGGUGGGAGGUUGUCUUUUGUACAUUCACAUGUUGUUAGUACAUAACACAUGUGAAUUUGGGUCCUACUCCCAAACCAAAGAAAAAUAUAAAUGAUGCUCUUUUAGGAAUCAAGAAAUUGCAGGAUGAUUCUUAACCUGUUUUGUGAUUGCUGCACUCACUUACAUGACUUUUUACUUUUUAUGGAUAGUUGCGAUUAUAAAAAUAAAACGUUAACAAAACCCGUAAUCUUCACUGCUAAGUGCUAUGCUAUGCAGGUGGCUAAACCAGAAGCGGAAGAGUUGAGAUUAGGCAAAAAUCCAGCUUCCUUUUUCUUCUUCUUUGGGUGACAACAAGAAUCCUAUUCUGAUCAUCAUGCCAUACAUAUGAGAAGAAGUUGGCCUGGGAAUAUAUAAUAUAUAUAUAUUAGGAGUAUAUACUUAUUGUCUGUCUUUUGUUCCCUUUCCCAACACAACCAAAACCAUUCUUUUUAUCACAACACCACAUUAAUUAUAUACAUACAACAAUCAUUUUGAAUGGAGAGACAUUGAGAAAGAAUCUCUUUACUUUUGAAUGUGGUUUGGAACUGAAACCCCUUUAAAUAAUAAUCUCAAUCACCUCUCAUAGAUUCCAUAAAUGGAAGCCUUCAUAUGUAUAAUAUACAAGGAAAAUGAGUCCCCAUGUGCCACCAUCUUAUGAUUUACAAUUUAGAUAAUAGUAAUGCCAUAACCCGCUUUUUCUUUUUUACUUGUUUCCUUUGAUGCCUCUAUUUUUCUUUCAAGUUUGUUUAUCUACUUUUGGUCAUCCCUUAAAAAUCAUUUGCCUUUUUUAUAAAACAAAAGCUUAGAUACUCAGCAAUAAUUUGUGCCACCACUUUCCCCUCUCACAAUAAUUCAACUUUCAUAUAUGGUAAAAGGGUUUGGGAUUUGCUUCAACAACACAAUUUCUUAUAGUCCUUCAAAUCCAACUGUUAAUUUUUUUUGCCCUCUCUGUUCCCUUUUUGCUCAUUUCUUGCACAACACAGUUAAAGAAAACAUCUCAUACAAAGUCUAGUGAAAAAGUGUGAAACCUUUUUUUUUUUUACUGUUUUCUCAUACAAUAAUGUAAAAAAGUAGUAAUGACAGCAGCACUGCUUUCCUCCUGAUCUAACAAUCCAUUGGGAGAAACCUCAGUGAAUUCACUUGAACUUGGUGAAGUAGGUUGAGGAGGACCAAACACAGAGCUGUCUUCCCCUGUAAAAUCAAUACAACUAGGCAUGUAGGCUGCUGCUCUAAUAGUCUGACUAUUGCUACAUAUGACUCCAUGUUUUUUUGCGUUUCUCUUCCUCUGAAUCACUUUGAAAACUACCCAAUCCCCAUGCCAUUCCCUCUUGGUCAUCUGCAUAGAUGGAGAAUCCGUAAUUAAUAUGACGAGUGCUGCCAAUGAGCUAUGCUACAAAGUUAUAUUAUGUUCAUACCUGUGUUUCAUCUGCAGAGCCAACAAGACGAAACUGAUGCAAGAGCCAUCGGGGUUUAGUAUCAGUCCAAGGCUUCCUUUCACAGAAAAUCAAAGCUUGUCUCAUCCCAACCACUUGAUUAGUACCAGAAGCUAAAAUUGUUUUCUCUUUACCAAUUGGCUUCCAGUAACCAGAACCAGCUACUACUCUCUUACGUUUCUUGUUGUUACUCUCAUUACCAUAUCUGUUGCUAAAGAAAUACCUUUUUUCUUUCACAUCACCUGAAAGUGAAACCCACAAAUAUUAACAUCAUGAUAUAGACAUAGGUUUCAUUAAACUUUAACAAGGCUUUGCAUUGAACUUCAUUGCCUAACCUGGUAGACUCCAAGGAUCAGUCUGAAAAACAUCAAACUCAGGAAUGACAGAAGCAGGUAAAGGAAGGUUCAAAGCCUUUCUCUUCAAGUAAUGAACCACAAGCUCUUCAUCUGUAGGACGGAACCUGUAACCAAUGGGCAUUUUGAUCCCUCCAUUUACAACAAACCUUUGACCUUCCAUGCUUAAAACUUAAAAACUCUCGACAAAGAAAAAAAAAGACCCUCCUCAACCAGCUAGCUCAAGUUUGUAUAUAUGUUUUAACUUAUAUGAAAUCUCUCAAAGUCCCCAAACUCGAAGCUAGCUUAGCUUAUUGAAAUCAAGCAAAGUAACCCAUGUGGGAUUGAAAUGUCCAAAUAAACCCAAAGCAAAGAAAAGGCAAAAGAACAAAAGGAAGACUUGUAGGGAGAAGAAAGACAGAUAGGUUCCUUUUAUAUAUAGAGAGAGGAAAACAACUGCUCUUAUUCUGACUCGGAGCUUGGAACUCUUUCCUUGACUGUAAUUAAAAAAAAAAAAACAUUGCUUUAUGUUGACGGGUCUUUUCUUACAGAAACGUGUAAGAAAACUUCUACCGUUUUUGGUCAAAGCACCCUCUCUCCCUCUCUGCAUUUUCUGCAAUGAGCCCACUUUGGUGCUAGUUUUCUUUUUAUGUGGAGCCCUUCCCCUCCAAACACAUCCAACGGCACAUAUCUUUUCUGUAAUACUUACUACAUCCAUUCAUUGCAUCUCCGUCGUCCAUUUCAAAUACUAUCAACUUUACAACAUUAUGAUUAUUAGUUCACCCAAUUAACUUUUGAAAAUUUCUUCCUUAAUUCCCUCAACCUUGAUCUAAUUUAAAAAAGGAAAGAUAAGUGUGGAUAUCAUCAAUUAGAAGUGUCAAUGAAAAUAAGGUUAAUUGGAAAACAGAUUUUUAUAAGUGUAUGAUGAAAGGGAAAACCUUACAGUUCACCCAAAGUGAAAAAGUGGGAUCCUUUUAUGUUUCCUAAAUUCUAAUCCUUCAAGUGGAUAAUGAGAUAAAGAUUUUGUUGUUAGAUUUUUUGUUUUGGUUACCCUCCAACUUAAUCAUGCACAUGGACAUGGUUGUUACCUCUUACUGUGUUCUGUAAUUCUAUGUUUUUGGCUUAAAAUCAAAGUUUUUGCCCACAUCAACAUUUGCAAAGCUUAAAAGUUUUAGUUUUUAUUCCCCCAAGUACUAGAUUUGGUUCAUAAUUUUGUUGGUUAUGGAAUAUUAAUUAUCAUUUAUCUUUUGACUUUUCCAUCUUUUUACAGCUUCUAUUCCCACUAUUUCUCACUAUCAUGAGAGUAAAGGGUGAAAAGUUUUAAGACAAGUAUAUGGUCUUGUCAACAAGACUUAGACAAAAUGGGUGAAACUUGAUUUUUUUUUUUUUUACAAUUUAUAAAUUAUAUCUAGAUUUAUUCUCAAUAAAAUCUUUUACUUAUAAAAAGUUCAAAUAUUUGGUGUUAUUAUGAGAGAAAGGAAAAAGUGAAAUAUUACAUCAAGAUUACUACCUUACUACUAAUUUACCUUUGUUUACUGCUCCAACUUUUAGGGGAAAUAACCUCGCUAUUUGUCUGGAGUUCGAUUUAAUAUUUGAGAAGAUUUAGAUAAAAUAAUUAGACUUAAAAAAUGAGAUUAGAUACAAGAAUUAGUUCUGUUUAAAAUAUGGGUUGGGCUUAGGCUUAAACAUUCAAUGCUUAAGCCUAGCCUGGCCAUCCUAUUUUUAAAUUUAUAAUUUUUUAUAUUAUGUUAUUUUUAUGUGUUAUGUAAUUUAUAAUAUAUUAAAAAAUAAAUCUAUACUAAAUAUAUAAUAUUAUUCUAAUGUAAAUAUUAAAAUAAUAUAAUAUAAAUACUUUUUAAAAUAAAAAAUAAAAAUAUGAGUGAGAUUAAAAUGAGUUUAGGUUAGUUUUUUUGUAAAUAUGAAUGAAUUUAGACAAAAUUUUAAGCUCAUAUUUUGAACUGGACUGAACUUGAACUAAUUUAUAUGCUGAUAUCAUACUUAAGCUCGGCCAGAUCCGGCCAUAUGCUUCUUUAGGGCUAAACUACUUUUUCUUUAUGCAAAGUAGGUAAUAAAUGAUUGGAAACCAACUUGAAAGUUGAAACUUAAUAUAAUUAACUAUCAUUUAAAUUAUAAAAAAAAACAUUUGCACUAUAGAAUAUCAAAUCUAAGAAAAUGGUUUUUUUACAUAUAGUGUUUAGAGUGUUAUUUUCUUUGUAUAACUCAAGUAUUCAAAACAUGUGAUAAAUAUGAAUGGUAAGACAAAAACUUUAAUAAUAUUUUGACCCUGAAUAAUGAAAUAUAAUCACUCAGUUAUUCACCCAUACUUGUUUCUUGGAAAUGUGCAUCUUAAAGAAGAGUUCCAAUAAAAAAUGACCACCCGUUUCAAAAAUAGUCAUCCUCAUGAAGAAGCAACAAUGGCCUCCUCAAUACAAUAUUUAGAAGAAAAGUCUAUCCCAAUUUCUUCAAAACCCUAAGUCAACAAUGAUGAUGGAUACUUACCCAUUCUAAGAAAUCCCAUGGUUUUUUUCUUUAUUUAAUACAAACCUUUGUCUUUUUCCUAAAUUUUCUUUUUUAUAAUUACAUGUUUGUUUUAUCGUCUAUAAAAUUUUUUUUUAUGUAUAUUGUUAUUUUUCCUAAUAAUGUCAUUUCAAGGAUUUGAAUCUAAGCUGAUUCGUAUAAUAUCUUUUAAGAGUAUAAAGCCUAUUGUGAAAUUAUUGUGAUUUUGUAAAAUAUUGAAAAAAAAAAAGUAGAGAAAAUAGGCAGAAGAGAUAAUGGGUGGCAUUAUUAAGUAUGUCUGUAUUUUGUUUGCAUUAUCAUUAAUACAUUUAAAUUAAUUCUGUAAUUAAAAAUUGAAAGUUGAAACAUUUUGGUUUCUUAGUUUGGUCCUACACAGCUGUUUCACCUUAUAUUUCUGAACCAUGUCUUUGCCCACAUUCUUUCAUUUCUAUAUAUUAACAUAUACCAAUAAUUGAAAUUAGGUAUAUAGUAGAAGCAAGUUAUGCUUGUAGCUAACCUCAGUUUCUUGUCUCUAACCUAUACUGGAUUAUUUAUUAAGCAGAAUCUGUAGAGUCAACAUAAUGACCUGUUUGCAUCUUUAAUUACAGACUUAAUCAAACCACCGUACAAAAUAAUCAUCUCCAAACAAAACCUUUGUUUUUCCAUCAAUAGAAUCAAAGCCUUCCCCUUCAAUCUACCUCGAUUGUAGUUUAUUAUUUAUUGUAUUUUCCUUUUAUUAAAAAUUUUAAACAACUACAACUUAAACAUAGUUCCGAUGAGAUUAGAAACAACGAUGACAAUCCAACUUUUUUUUUUUUUGUGUAUAAAUAAUACUAACCAACAAUGCUAAAUAAUUACAAUCGAAAAUUCAAGUAAUUUAUCGAUCUCAAAUUCAUAAAAAAAAAACUCUUCAAAGACUUAAACAAACACUUGUACCUCUGUACUAAUUUUUAAUUUUUAUUUAAUAGAUUCGUACUGAUUUACAAAUUAAUCAACUUUUUCCCUUUCUCCAGAAAAAUGUAUCUACUGGUUCUCUAACGGUCUGUCUGUGUCAACAAACUUGAGAUCCAAAAGGAACCUCUAUCUUGGAGUUCCCUUUUUCCUUAAAAAGCUCUAGAACUCACCUUUUGCUUGCAAAUUAAGGGACCCAAUAUCUCAGCUUACUUUUAGGAAGGCAUAAUGAUUUUUUUGCCCUCUAAUUUUACAAAAAAAUCAUUUUAGUCAUUCAUUUAAUUUUUUAUCUUUUUAAUCCUUAAAUUUGUAUUUUUUUUAUCAAAGCACUCUCAAAAUAGAUGAAAAAGUUAAUGUUUGUUAACUUUGUUGAUAUGAUAUACACGUGGAUUACCACGUGAAUGAAAAAUUAACACUUAAUUAAAUUUAAAGUUUUAUACUUUUUAAAUAAUUUUAAUGAUUUUUAAUUUUUAAAAAUAAAUUUUUUGAAUUUUUAAAAUUUUUAAAAAUUAAUUAAAUACUAAAAUGUAAUCUACAUGAUAACUCACUUAAACAACGUUAAAAAAUAUUAUGCCUUAUAAAAAUUACUUGUGUAUUUGUUUGCACGAGGAAUUGAAUGGUUUCUCAUGCUCAAGUUUGAUCAAGUUUCUAUCAAGCACAUAUAUCAUGAAGGAAAUCAAUGUGUAGAUAUGAUAUAAUAGCUCGAAUCGGGAGCAAUUUUUAACAGUAGCAAAAUACUGUGGACUUUUGUUUUAAUGAUAUUUUGUGCAUCUAUAUGGAACCUUCAAGUUGUAUGAAGAAAGUGUUGAAAGUAGAUGUUUAUGGCAUCCUUUUGCACCCAACUCUGAACAUACAUUUAGCAUUAUUAUACAGUUGUCCCGAAACUGGAUGGAAAAGAAGGCAAGGCAAAGGCAAAUUUUGAGAGUUGAAAAGGGCAGGUGACCAAUCACUCCUUUGGUUAAGAUGGGAUUAAGCCCAAAUCCAUAUUCAGCUCUACACUACACGUAUGCAUAGUUUGUGCUCAUGUCCAUGAAAUGAUAACACAAGCACAAGUCGUCCGCCAUAUUUGGGCAAAUUGGGCUGUUAUUUGUCUACUCCUAUUCCUAUACAUUCUCCAAUCAUUUGAAUGCUACUGUUUUAGGAAACUUUCUCUCUCUCAUUCAUCAUUCUAACUAUAAAACUUGUCUGUCUUUUAAAUUAUAUGAAUAGCCUUUUUCCCCUUUUUCUUUUAUAUAUAUCUAUUAAUUAAAUUAAUGUUAUAAAAGUUGAAAUGUUAAAGAGAAAUAUAUUAAUCAACAAGGUUUAUAUACAAAGAUUUUUCUAUGCUAAAGAAUAAAAAAUAACAUAAAAAUAAUUUAAUGAUUUUUGAGCUUCAUACCUUAAGGGUAUUAUUAUUGCAAGUAAAUAUGUUAUAAGUUUCAAGUUGAUAGUUUAAAUCUCCCCAUGGUCAAAUAGUUUAAUAAUUAUUCGCAUGUCAUAUAUUGACAUACAUCCGUGGUUUUUGUAGGUGCAUUGAUAGAGGUG
rnacentral:lncRNA from 1 species